UCAGGGACUCUUGUAGGCAGUGACGACAUGGUAGGCUUGGGAAGCUCUCUGGGCUCACUCCUACAUUCUCUGAACACCAGACUGCCCUGCACUUCUGAGGCUUGAUCUGUGAUGCCGGGAGAGAUGGGACGCUGCCAGAAGGGGCUACUGGCAGGCUGCCAAGAGGCUGCCCACAGAGGCCUUUGCCCUGACAAAUUCACCCCUGGGGCCCUGGGUCUGCCCUCCGCCUGGCAGCUGGUGGAGAGGCGAGCCAGGUCCCAGCUGUGGACUCAGACGAAUCAAUUGCUCAGGAGGCCAAUAUAUACACCAGGUGAGUUGGCUGACUCAUUAGGCACUUCCCACAAUCCAGUUCCUUCAUCCCCCUGCCGCCCCUGCCACAAGCUUCCUGCAGGAGUCUGGAGGACCUCAAAUAUUUCCAAGGAGGCCAGACUUUGGGAGGCUGAGGACUUCACGGCCCGAGGGGAGAGCAAGCCGUCCGGCCGCUGAGACCCACUCAGACCACGAACAGGGCAGGUGCUCAGAGGGCUCGCCCUCCCAUCCACCCCAAACUGGCUGUUGGACAUUCUAGUGUUGACCCAGAGAAAGAAGCUGAGGCAAAAUCAAUAUACAGGGUUAAUUUGGGCCAAGAGUGAGGACAGCCAUUGGGGACACACUUCAAGUUGCCUUGGCGUAUGCUCUGUGUUCGGCUUUUGUUACAAGCGGGCCUUUAAAGGCAAAAGGGGACAAGGAGUGGGUGAUUCAACAAUGUUCUCAUUAGUUUGCAGGAAUAACAUUGGCUUGUGAUUGGCUAUGCAUUGUUGAGCUAUGGGGUAUGAGUUAUAGUGUCUGGAAUAUGGCAUUUUAUGGCUAUGUGGUGUCAGUUAGCCUAGAGCCCAUAUAGCAAGUGGCUUCAAGAGGUAAUUAUUUAGCUUGGUGGUCGGGGGCGGGUGAGAUGUGACUGCUGUCAUAUGCUGUUGCAUUUCUUUUUUGAGACAGAGUCUUACUCUGUUGCCCAGGCUGGAGUGCAGUGGUGCAAUCUUGGCUCAAGCGAUUCUCCUGCCUCAGCCUCCUGAGUAGUUGGGAUUACAGGCGUGUGCACCAGUACGCCCAGCUAAUUUUUUUUUUUUUUUUGAGACAGAGUCUCGCUCUCUCACUCUGUCACCCAGGCUGGAGUGCAGUGGUACGAUCUCGGCUCACUGCAACCUCUGCCUCCUGGGUUCAAGUGAUUCUCCUGCCUCAGCCUCCCGAGUAGCUGGGAUUACAGGUACACCAUGCACAGCUAAUUUUUUGUAUUUUUAGUAGAGAUGGGGUUUCACCAUGUUGGCCAGGCUGGUCUCGAACUUCUGACCUUGUGAUCUGCCCAUCUGGGCCUCCCAAAGUGCUGGGAUUACAGGUGUGAGCCACUGCGCCCAACCUGCUGUUGCAUUUCAAAGAUUCUCUGGGCCUGAUAACGAAAGGGGGACUUGCAUUCUUUUUUUUUUUUUUUUUUGAGAUGGAGUCUCGUUCUGUCACCCAGGCUGGAGGGCAAUGGUGUGAUUUCGGCUCACUGCAACCUCUGCCUCCCGGGUCGAAGCCAUUCUCUUGCCUCAGCCUCCCGAGUAGCUGGGAUUACAGGCACCCGCCACCAUGCCCAGCUAAUUUUUUGUAUUUUUAGUAGAGACAGGGUUUCAUUAUGUUGGCCAGGCUGGUCUUGAACUCCUGACCUUGUGAUCCACCCACCUUGGCCUCCCAAAGUGCUGGUAUUACAGGCAUGAGCCACCGCGCCUGGCCUGGGACUUGCAUUCUUCAGAUAAAGUUUUUUAUUGUUGUUGUUUUGUUUUUGAGAUGGGAUCUCUGUUGCUCAAGCUGGAGUGCAGUGGCACGAUCUCGACUUACUGCAGCCUUGAACUCCUGGGCUCAAGUGAUCCUCCUACCUCAGUCUCCUGAGUAGCUAGGACUACAGGUGUGCACCAUGCCAGUUAAUUUUUUAUUUAUUGUAGAGAUGGGGUAUUGUUAUGUUGCCUAGGCAGGUCUCGAACCCCUAGGCUCAAGUGAUUCUCCUGCCUCAGCCUCCGAAAGUUUUGGGACUACAGGCGUGAGUCUCCACACCUAGCCAACACACUUCUAAUGCCAAACGUUUGGGCUUUUUUUCUCCAUACAACAAGUAAUUCUGCAGCAGACACCAGUUGGGAUUCCCAUAAUUCAAUUCAAUUCUGACAUGAUCUACCUGGAGAUACAGGGGGUGAGCUCUGGAAGGGUCCUGAGCACAGGAGUGUUGGGAAUAGGCCUCCAAAAUCUGGCCAUAAACUGGCCCCAAAACUGGCCAUAAACAAAGUCUCUGCAGCACUGUGACAUGUUCGUGAUGGCCAUGACGCCCACGCUGAAGGUUGUGGGUUUACUGGAAUGAGGGCAAGGAACACCUGGCCCACCCAGGGCGGAAAACCGCUUAAAGGCGUUCCUAAACCACAAACAGAGCAUGAGUGAUCUGUGCCUUAAGGACAUGUUCCUGCUGCAGAUAACUAGCCAGAGCCUAUCCCUUUGUUUCCGCCCAUCUCUUUGUUUCUUAUAAGGAAUACUUUUAGUUAAUCUAUAAUCUACAGAAAUAAUGCUUAUCACUGGCUUGCUGUCAAUAAAUACGUGGGUAAAUUUCUGUUCAGGGCUCUCAGCUCCGAAGGCUGUGAAAUCCCUGAUUUCCCACUCUGCACUCUGU